rnacentral:rRNA from 1 species
UACAGAGGUCUCAAGCGUUGUUCGGAUUCAUUGGGCGUAAAGGGUGCGUAGGCGGCGCGGUAAGUCGGAUGUGAAAUCUCGGAGCUUAACUUCGAAACUGCAUUCGAUACUGCCGUGCUUGAGGACUGGAGAGGAGACUGGAAUUUACGGUGUAGCGGUGAAAUGCGCAGAUAUCGUAAGGAAGACCAGUGGCGAAGGCGGGUCUCUGGACAGUUCCUGACGCUGAGGCACGAAGGUCAGGGGAGCAAACGGG